rnacentral:rRNA from 1 species
AUAAUGGGUCAGCGACUUAUAUUCUGUAGCAAGGUUAACCGAAUAGGGGAGCCGAAGGGAAACCGAGUCUUAACUGGGCGUUAAGUUGCAGGGUAUAGACCCGAAACCCGGUGAUCUAGCCAUGGGCAGGUUGAAGGUUGGGUAACACUAACUGGAGGACCGAACCGACUAAUGUUGAAAAAUUAGCGGAUGACUUGUGGCUGGGGGUGAAAGGCCAAUCAAACCGGGAGAUAGCUGGUUCUCCCCGAAAGCUAUUUAGGUAGCGCCUCGUGAAUUCAUCUCCGGGGGUAGAGCACUGUUUCGGCAAGGGGGUCAUCCCGACUUACCAACCCGAUGCAAACUGCGAAUACCGGAGAAUGUUAUCACGGGAGACACACGGCGGGUGCUAACGUCCGUCG